rnacentral:misc_RNA from 1 species
GAUGAAGAACGUAGCGAAAUGCGAUAAGUAAUGUGAAUUGCAGAAUUCAGUGAAUCAUCGAAUCUUUGAACGCACCUUGCGCCCUUUGGCUAUUCCAGAGGGCAUGCCUGUUUGAGUAUCAUGAACACCUCAACUCUCAUGGUUCUGCCAUGAUGAGCUUGGACUUUGGAGGUCUUGCUGGCCCCUGUGGUCGGCUCCUCUCAAAUGGAUCAGCUUGCCAGUGUUUGGUGGCAUCACAGGUGUGAUAACUAUCUACGCUUGUGGGUUUCCACCAGGUAACCUUCAGUGAUGGAGGUUCGCUGGAGCUCAUAAACGUCUCUCCUCAGCGAGGACAGCUUCUUGAACGUUUGAUCUCAAAUCAGGUAGGGCUACCCGCUGAACUUAAGCAUAUCAAUAAGCGGAGGA